UAUCCCGGCAAGCCAGAGAUGUGAGAAGAGAGAGAGGUUGCAUUCCUCCUUCCUGGAAAGGAUCAAGACUGAGGAGAAUUAUAGAGGACAAAAACUGCUAACAAGGGAGAUUACAGAACAAAACUUCUCUUGAUAUUCUGAGAGGGGAAGAAUGGAAAUGAAUAAAGGAGCAAGAGUCCCUCCCCUCCCCCACUCCUGUGGGAUUCUGAGUGAAAUCUUUACACGUCCUGAAAUGGCGCUAGGAGCCCCUUACUUCUGGAGAAGUGGAGUUUGCAGCCUUUAACAGAAUCUUUUGGCUUCCACCAACUUGAGGCAGGUACUGCCAGGCCCAUCCAGGAGAAGUGAGACGAAGAAGAUGAAACACCAGCCGCUUUGUUUCCGAGUUACUAUUUCAAUUCCAAGUUCCUGGGUGAAAAAUAUAUUCACGUUUGAGGGGUUUUCUCAAAAAAUAUCAAACAACUUAGAAAGACUAAGAGAAGUAACUCUAUAACAAUUUGAAGUCCAUACAUAAAGUAGAUUUUAAGGUGGCAAUAAAAACUUGGCUUUGACAAUGUUUUUGAAUUUGAAGAUAUUCUACUUGUCAAUUAAAAAAAAGUUUUAUACUGGAGGCCUUUUGUGACUUUGCCAUUAAAUCUAUAAUCAAUCUAUAUUUUUUUCAGAUGGAAAAAGUUGAUUGCUAUCAGUUCUUUUAUUUUCAGAUAUAUUUAUAAAUUAUAAUAUAUCUAUAUAAUUUUACUUGAAGAAUUCUUAUUUCCAUAUGUCAAUUUGGGGUGUUAUUGUAAAUGAUAUGAGAGCUGUUAUUUAUAAAAGUUGAUGCAGAGUGAAACAAAGGUAUCUGAGUGACCUACUUAGUGCUCAGCAUUUUUAUUUGUGGCCCAAACUAAGGUGUCUAUUACCAGUUUGAUUUACUUAUGCUAACUAUAUAAGGCCAGUUGAUAAUCCUACCUGCUUCCAUAGUUAGAACAUCAGUCCAUAUAUAAGAUAACAUGCAAAUAGAUCUCAAUCAAUGAUUGAGGUGAUUGGAAUAAUAUGAAGAGGAGGAACAGAAGUGAUAUUACACAAAUGGACAUCCUCCAGAGCUGUGGUUCUCAACCUUCCUAAUGCUGCAACCCUUUAAUACAGUUCCCCAUGUGGCAACGCUUCAACCAUAACAUUAUUUUCUUUACUACUUCAUAGCUAUAAUUUUGCUACCAUUAUGUGUUGUAAUGUAAAUAAUUUUGGAGAUAAAGGUUUCCCAAAGGGCUUGUGACCCAUAUGUUGAGAACUGCUGCUCAGGCUGGAGAGAUGGCUCAGCAGUUAAGAACACUGGCUGAUCUUCCAAAGGUCCUGAGUUCAAUUCCCAGCAACCAUAUGACGACUCCCUAUCAUCUGUAAUGGGAUCUGAUCCCCACUUCUAGCAUGCAGGUGGACAUGCAUACACAGUACUCAUAUGCAUUAUUAAAAAUGUGAGGUUUGAUUUUCUAGAGAAAGAAUAUCUUCUGCAACAUGCUGCCAAUAUUUGAUGCUCUAUCAUGUUUUACUAUAUAUUAUUCACAUAUUUAAUACUUUACUUUUAGCUAUUCUUCUGAGUUCAGAAUUAUCAAUUCCUCUUGUGUGAUUGUUUUUAUUGAGCCCAGCUUAUUUGCUAACUGUGUGUCUUAGUUAUGGUUUUAUUUUUGUGAAGAGAACAAUGACCUGAUAACUCUUAUAAAGGAAACUAUUUCAUUGGAGCUGGCUUACAAAUCAGUGAAUCCAUUAUUGCCAUGGUAGAAAACACAGCAGUAUGUAGAUAGACAGGGUACUCGAGAGACAGCAAAGAGUUCUACAUCCAGAUCGCCAGGCACCAGGAAGAGAGAAUGCCAGUGGUCCAAGGUUGAGCUUAUGAGACCCCAAAUCCACCCCCAGUGACAUACUUCUUCCAACAAUGCCACACCUACUCCAAAAAGGCCACAGUUCCCAAUAGUGCUACUCCCUAUGGUAGUCAUUUUCAUUUAAAGCACCACAGUGGGAAAGUAAGGAACAUAUUUUAACUUUUCUCAUUGUAUGCAUUAUUCAUAAACACAUUAAAGUCAUUAGUACUUAUUUCAUAGUAUCCUGAAUACACGUACCAUUUUAUCUUAUUCAGGUUUAUCGUGGAAAAAUGUGUAUGUGUAUGUAAUUUAGUGAUGUUCAGAAGGAAAAACAAAGUAUAGACAUGUCUAUUUUAACUAAACAUUUUGAAAAGGCAAAUUAAAUUUUUUUUUCAAUUAGAUUUUACUGUAUAGUUCAGACUAGCCUCACACCUAUAUUUCUUGUUUCUUUAGCUUUUGUGCUGGGGUUAUAAACACUUUCAGUAGUUUUGUUCUUUUAUGUGACUAUGUUUUUAAAUAGAAUGAAGCUAUUAGGAAACCGAGUUGUUUUGACUACAGAGUUUUAUUAUCUUUUCUUUUUUCAGUUUUCCUUUGAAAAGCAUUCCCAGAUUCUUCAUCAGUCUUCAUGUCCCUCUAACUUUAAAGAUACUUCCUAUUAAAAGUGAAUCUGUCUGCGAAUGGUGGGGAAAAUAGUCGUACACUGUCAAAUAUCCUCUAAAGGAUCUAAUACUCUGCUUUCAUUUCAUCACCAAUAAUAUUAGCAGUAGAUGUUUUAUGCUUGUUUUGAAGUUAGAACUUCAGGACUCAAUCUAGUUUAAAAAUGUAGAGCAGACAGAUUCCGAAUAUACCCUUCUUGCCCAAUCAUGUAGGGUGCACUUUUUCCUUCUAGAGUUCUAGACCAUAUGAUUUCUUUAGCCAAAAAAUUAAAUUGGUCUUGUAUGAUAGAAUAUUAGGUCCAGACUAAGAUGUUAAGUGUUGGUGUCCACAACAGCAGGAACAAUAUAAUAAAAAAAAUUUGGUUUUAGUUGGUUGUUCUUUAUUAGGAAAAUAUGCUAUUACAAAAUUGAAUUUCGUGAAUAUUUCUCUUUUUUGGCUUUAACUUCCCCCCCCCCAAUUUUCUAUAUUCUCAUCUCCAUUUCCUUGUAGAAAUUAACUUAAUAGACCUCAGGGUUUCAACAACUUAUAUUUUUUUGUCUCUAAGGAACUUCUUUUAUGGAUAGUAUAUGUUCCUUUGAAGAAAUUGAGAACAUUAAUAGUACAUAUUAUUGUGAAGUGUAUCGACCACUCUAAGGUUAAACAAAUGAUACAAGUGUGUGUGUGCAUAAAUGUUAUAUGUGAG
ensembl:processed_transcript Gm13972 predicted gene 13972